CCGUGGGGGCCUCCGGGCCAGAGCCCAGCGCGCCCGGAGCCGGCGCUGCCAAGCCCCGGCGCCACCGCGGGGAAUGCAGCUUCGCUGGCCGCCCACUGCGGCCCACGCCAUCCUCUGCAUCUGCUCCGCCCACCGCGUCCCUCGGCCUUUUCCGAGUCGGGUCGGGGAGGUUAGGAAAAGGAAGAGCGAAUUCCUCCGGUGCAAUCGCGUCUGCACGCGCUCUGGGCGCGGAGGCCCGGACGGAUUAUGAUCAUCGAUGGAGAUGAUGUGCAGGUGUCCAGCAUGGUCCCUGGAAUCCUGCACGCUCGCAUUACAGACUUUAUUCAGGGCAGUAAUGUGCAUCCUUUGCUUUUCCUGCCUUCCUCUGUCCUGAUGCCUGGAACUUGGAGCUCCUGCAGCCAUUUUGGACCAAGAACUGGGUAAAAGAGCCAGCUCUCGAGCCAUCCAACCAGACCUUGAAAGGCAACUUGUCUCAUGCAGCAGAGAAAUUAACCUCUGUCACCUUAAAGCAACAGUGAUUUUGUUUUCUAUUAUAUGACACAACCUAAGGCGGAUACUUAACGAAAAUUACAUGUUUUUGGUUAAUCAUAAACAUGUUUGCUUGAGCUAAAUUUUCCUGCUUAAAAUUAUUUUUGCUGGUCUGUUCCCAAUGCACAAAUGCCUCGCUCACCAGGCCUAGGUUUUCCCCAUCAGCAAAAGAGGAACAAGACUCCCUCCUGCUUAUCUCUAAGACAUGAAAAAGAAACAGAACAUCAGAAGAAAGGGCAAGAAUUCACACUAAGCUCAGAGAACAGCAGUGAGUGAGUUACAAGCUGUCCCCUCCCAGAGACAGACGCAACCAAGGCUUUCCAUAUCAGACCCAAGGCAGCAAAGCCCUCUGAGGGAAAACAGUCCUCACUGCAGCUACGGAGGGGAGUGGGAACAAAGGAAAGGAGCUACCACGACAAAACUGUUAUCCUAGCGAAGAAACAAUCCCUCCAGUAGCUUUAAAAAGAGGAGCUAUUCUCACUUUUUAAAAAGUCUGAUUCUUGGAAAAUUAAGAAGACCAAAGACGAGUAAGGAAGUGGUUAUACACGGAGGGGUUUGUGGGUUUUUUUGGUUUUGUUUUUUUGUUUUGUUUUGUUUUAAGAUUUAUUUUAGAAAGAGGAAGAGAGAGCACAACAGGAGGGGCAGAGGGAGAGGGAAAGAGACUCUCAAGGGGACCCUGUGCUGAGCGCCGAGCCUGACCCCAUGACCCUAAGACCGAGACCCCAGCUGUAACCAAGAGUCAGAUGCUUAACCAACACCACGGCCCAGGCAAGCCUACAUUGAGUAUCUGUGUACCUACUACGAACUUCCCACGGACCCAGGACCUGCUCCAAACACUUCACAGGAAGCAGCUCCUCUAAGGUGCUGAGGCCACUCACAUAGCCCUGCAGUUACUAUUCCAACAGCCCUGCUGGGCUUGCCUCGGAGUCACCGCCCAACAGGUGGGGAAAAGCAGGCACGGACAAAGCUCCAGGCGCAAAAAAGAGAUCUGGGGGAGUGGUGGGAAGCUCCACCUCCGAUGGGAUCAAGGGAACCACUCUGCGUCUCUUAAGGUUCUGCAGCCCAGGACAUUCAGCGAAGUCUGUCGGGACUCAGGCCACCUUGGGUCUCAGAGUAGAGCGAAGACAACAGCCUGAGGGCCAGCAGGAGCCGGCUUCCCCUGCAGCUCUGAGACCCAUAACCUACGUAGAAACAUACUCCUUGCCUUUUAGUGUCCAUCCCCUUGGGGUCUCUGGGAGCAGGAUCCCCUUGGUUCUCUCCAUACUGAGUCCUCCAUCCGUCUGUCCUCCAGCUUCAUGUCACAUCUAAUCCAUCUCCUCCCCUUUCAUCCCUACCCUCCCCCCUUCCUCCACACUGGGCCUUCAGGGUUCAGAGGAGAGUGCUGCAGGGUUCUGCAGGUCCCAGACCCUAGGUCCACGGUAGCCCCUGUGGACUAAUUCUUGGGGUCUUCCAUGCCCCAAGGAUGACCAGAAUUCUCCACCCUUCUAAAACAGAAAGCAGAAAGUGUUGAAUGUUUACAUCUUGCUAAUUAUAGUCUCCAAAAAAGUCCUUCAGUUACCCAGUUACAAAAACAGAAAGAAAGAAAGAGAAAGAAAUCAAUCACAGGAAUCACAGCAUGCCAAAGCGGAGAGAGAUAUGAAAGAUCUUCUCUAGGACAGUUUCUUCACUCUGCAGAAGCUAAAACAGGACCAGAGAAAUCCAGGGAGUUGGGCAAGGUCACAAAGACAGAUGCGGGAAGGAAUGUAAGAGAGAACUCAGAUGUCCCUCCUCUAUGUUACAAUUGCUCAAUAAGAAAAACAAACAAAAAAACAAAACAGAACAAACAAACAACAACAACAACAAAAAAACCCCACGUCUGGCUCAAAAUAACACAUGCUCGUGUAGCCAGAAAUGGUGAACAACCUGGUCCAUCUCCUGCUGGUUUUUGCAAUAAGGCAGUUAUGAACCCACGAGAUGUACCUGUCACCGUGACACGUGUGAGCAUCGACUGUGACGAAAAGGCUCUUCUUCUAAAUAAAUGAAUAAAAACGUGGAUGCUAAUUGAAGAUUAGCAUCAUCUCCCAUCAAUGCUAAUACGCUUUUUGGUUAUUUGCAAUUCCCUUUUGUAAAUCUGAGGGAAACAUCGUUGCCCAAAUUAGCUCUUUUCGCUCAAUAAAGGCCAUAUUAGCAUUCUGA